GACAGAGGGGGCAAGCGUUGCUCGGAAUUACUGGGCGUAAAGGGCGCGUAGGCGGCAUGCCAAGUCGGGAGUGAAAGCCCGGGGCUCAACCCCGGAAUGUCUUUCGAAACUGGCAAGCUAGAGUGCAGAAGGGGCAACUGGAAUUCCUAGUGUAGCGGUGAAAUGCGUAGAUAUUAGGAAGAACACCUGAGGCGAAGGCGGGUUGCUGGGCUGACACUGACGCUGAGGCGCGAAAGCCAGGGGAGCAAACGGG
rnacentral:rRNA from 1 species